AAAACUUAGAUACAAUUACUUAGGUACUUUUUGUAUGGUUCUUAACUAAAAAUACAUAUUUUUUGGAUAUAACAAACUUUGUGAAAAUUAUGGAUUUGAGGAAAUCAUGGUGAAUUUAGUUAAAAACCAUACGAAAAGUACAUAAGGAAUUGUACCUAAGUUUU
rfam:Medicago truncatula strain A17 chromosome 4, whole genome shotgun sequence.